CCCUAGCCCCGAUUGCAAUGAAAAGCUUUUUGCGAAAGCCGUUUUGGUUUUUCUUGUUGCUGCAGAGCGACCAAAGGAAGCUCCUGCGGAAACAUUAGAAAAACAAACGGGUUUGCAAAAACUUGCAAUGAAAAGCGGGAAAUCGC
rnacentral:sRNA from 1 species